UAGGGAAUCUUCCACAAUGGGCGAAAGCCUGAUGGAGCGACGCCGCGUGUGUGAUGAAGGGUUUCGGCUCGUAAAACACUGUUGUAAGAGAAGAAUGACAUUGAGAGUAACUGUUCAAUGUGUGACGGUAUCUUACCAGAAAGGAACGGCUAAAUACGUGCCGG
rnacentral:rRNA from 1 species